CAAGUCCAAUUCCUGAUGCAAAGUCAGUUAAUGAUCAAGAAAAUUCUCAAGAGGAAUGUAGUGGACAGACUCAGACCUCUGACGAGGAGGGGAAUGAUCUUUUAGAAGACCUUCCCAGACGAUCAACUAGACAAAGAAAGGGUCCUAAAAUGCUUACCUAUCCACAGCUUGGAAACCCUUUAAUGCACGUAGUGGAUUCCUUUUUCCAAGGCUUAAACACCGUUUUGCUUAAUGCAUUGGAUAAUAGUGAAAGUCUGAAUGAUUUACCAGGGAAAUCCUCCAUACAGGAUGUAUAAUAUGUUGAGUUAUUCUAAACUGUCACGAGACGUGCACAGUUAAGUGGGGGAGGAUGUAACCCAGAUUACUGAAGGGUUAUAUUUGUACAUUUAUAAAAUAAUAUAAAUGAUCAGGGGAUAAAACAACAUGAUAAAACAACAUAUAGCUGUGGAUUCAUUGUUCUAAAAUGUUCUUAAUAAGAAAUAAAUUGUUUAAAAAUAAUAAUGUGAAAUAUUCACAUGUUAUUGGUUUAGCCAAUCAGUGAUGUGUGGGAGGGAUUUGCGCUUGCUGACGCAGUGGGAAGAGAUCGCCAGACUGUGGAGGAAGAGAGAGGGUGAGAUCGCUAGAUUUGAUGAUUUAAACUGUGAAAUCAGAUUAUAACUUUGAAAUUAGUUCGAGAAACUUACAAAAAGCUUUCAUAGAGAAGUAUUUGAAGAGGAUUCAGUCAUUAAAUUGUUCCUGUGACGAUCGAUGGGAAAAUUGCAUCAUUGUGUUGUUGAGGAGUGAAUAUAUGGACAUGGUCAGGUUUUUUUUCUUUGGUGUUUUUGAUUGAAGACUGAUUCACAUUGAUGGCGAGCCAACCUAUUCGGACACUAGAAAAGGAAACUGGAAAUCCACCCUACUGAACCAGGAGAGUACUUUAAUACUUAUUAUUUUUUUCAGCUCAAGGUAAAAGACAGUUUUUUUCCGUUUCUGGAUAGAGACUGUUCGUGGUUUUUUUUCUGAGAACUGAUUAAAAAAAAAGGAAAAAAAAACUAAUACCAGCGCACGGACACUUGGAAAUCAAACUAUUUUCCUUUUGAAGUGAAAUGAGAAAUACUGAGUUUGUUGAUUCUGAACAAGUGGUUUUCUUUACAUUUUCAAUGUAAUUUCAAUUGAACUUUAUUUUGUUUUAUUGUGUUUUGAUUGUUUAUCGUAUUUUGUUAAUUUUAUUUUGGGGAAAGAUCUGCAGAAAAUUAUAUCUAUAAACAUUUCAAAUACUUACCUA